rnacentral:lncRNA from 1 species
AGCCGGCGCCCUCGCUGAGGGGUGAGGGCAGAAGUUGCCCCAAGGAUGAAGGAGAGUCUGUUCUGAGUGUCUUUCAAACAGUGGUUUAUAAUUUUAAGUGAAUCCUUGGAUUCGCUGCACAGACUCAAAAGAUGCAGCUCAUCCAUUUUCUAAAUGACUUAAAAAAAAUCGGCUUGGCAUCAGGGAAUGUCUUUAAUAAUCUUGUUUCCAAAAGUGAGGCUUUAUGCAAAAGCAAGCAUUUAAAUUUCUGUCAACGUGAAGUUUCCUAUGUUAAUAAUUUUGAAUAUAAUUGUUUGAAUAUAAUUGUAAUAUAAUUUACUGAAGCUUAGUUUGGGGUUUGGUUUGUUUGCUUUGCCGUUGCUGUUUUUUUUUUUUUUAAAGCUGUGGUGCCGUUUCUUGGAAAAUGUUCAGCAGUGUCCUUCUGGUACGUUAGGACUUCUUAUGUUUUUGCACCAUCUUGUGGUAAAUAUCCAUACUUACUUAGACAAAUUGCAGAAGAAGUAGAGGUAUUUCACUCUUUUUCUGGUAAUAGUGUUCCUUUUGUUCUCACAUCUUUAGAUGCAGAUGGCGUCAUACAACCGUUCAUUUGCAAAUUUUUCCUUCUUUUCUGCGAAGUAGAAGAUAAUCUUUUCUUCCACAGUCACAGAUCCCACCAUCCCACCGCUUUGUGUCUUUGGAUUUGCUAUAGGACGUAUGAAAACUAACAGCUAAACGGGACGCUACUUCUAUGCCUCCCUCCAUGGAGUUUAGGCAGGAAAGUCCUGACUGCUGUCCUUCAGGUUCUCCGUUCAUUGUCACCUUGUACCUCUGUCAGUGUGGAUCUGCAAAGAUUUGAAGGGCACAGCAGUUACCUUCUGCAGACCAGUUAAGAUCUGUGAAGGUUAAAGACUCAAGUGGAUAUUCAUAUGGAUGUUUUUUUGUGUACUUGUUGAUAAUGAAGAGGAAUUUCUUACACAAUUGAAAUAUGGCAUAUGAUGUUUUCUCAUUUAUUUUCUCAUAUAGAUGGCAUAUGUUGUAUACUUACUAGAUUUGCACAUUCCAUGCUUGUUGGAGAAGAUAAAAUGUUUUGUUAAGUUGAUGCAGGCCCCUCUUCCUGGAUAUGAUCUACAGACAGCGUAGCCCUAACUUGUCUCCCCGACCAGUAGGAUGGCUGUCUUUUGCCAAGCCAUUUCUGGAUAUGCAAGAAUAACAUAGCUGCUGUCAUGACAUGGGAUACGUUCGAAGCCUUUCGUAUGAGUAGGCUGUUGGGAAGAUCCUGCUACUUUUGAG